UCUGGAAACUNUCUGACUUGAGUGCAGAAGGGGAGAGUGGAAUUCCAUGUGUAGCGGUGAAAUGCGUAGAUAUAUGGAGGAACACCAGUGGCGAAAGCGGCUCUCUGGUCUGUCACUGACGCUGAGGCUCGAAAGCGUGGGUAGCGAACAGGAUUAGAUACCCUGGUAGUNCACGCCGUAAACGAUGAGUGCUAGGUGUUAGGCCCUUUCCGGGGCUUAGUGCCGGAGCUAACGCAAUAAGCACUCCGCCUGGGGAGUACGACCGCAAGGUUGAAACUCAAAGGAAUUGACGGGGGCCCGCACAAGCGGUGGAGCAUGUGGUUUAAUUCGAAGCAACGCGAAGAACCUUACCAGGUCUUGACAUCCCGAUGCUAUUCUUAGAGAUAGGAAGUUACUUCGGUACAUCGGAGACAGGUGGUGCAUGGUUGUCGUCAGCUCGUGUCGUGAGAUGUUGGGUUAAGUCCCGCAACGAGCGCAACCCUUAUUGUUAGUUGCCAUCAUUAAGUUGGGCACUCUAGCGAGACUGCCGGUAAUAAACCGGAGGAAGGUGGGGAUGACGUCAAAUCAUCAUGCCCCUUAUGACCUGGGCUACACACGUGCUACAAUGGUCGGUACAACGAGUUGCGAGCCGGUGACGGCAAGCUAAUCUCUGAAAGCCGAUCUCAGUUCGGAUUGGAGGCUGCAACUCGCCUCCAUGAAGUCGGAAUCGCUAGUAAUCGCGGAUCAGCACGCCGCGGUGAAUACGUUCCCGGGCCUUGUACACACCGCCCGUCACACCACGAGAGUUUGUAACACCCGAAGUCGGUGAGGUAACCU
rnacentral:rRNA from 1 species